rnacentral:sRNA from 14 species
UGUUGUCGGCCAUCUACUCCUCCCAGAUGUGGUGCCGACGCUGAAUGGGGCGCACCUCCUCCCGCGUCUCAUUCGAAAUCGAGCCCGCUGCCACCUCCUCCCGGCAGCGGGCUUUUUUA